rnacentral:rRNA from 1 species
AGUGAACGCUGGCGGUAGGCCUAACACAUGCAAGUCGAACGGCAGCACAGUAAGAGCUUGCUCUUACGGGUGGCGAGUGGCGGACGGGUGAGGAAUACAUCGGAAUCUACUUUUUCGUGGGGGAUAUCGUAGGGAAACUUACGCUAAUACCGCAUACGACCUACGGGUGAAAGCAGUGGAUCUUCGGACCUUGCGCGAUUGAAUGAGCCGAUGUCGGAUUAGCUAGUUGGCGGGGUAAAGGCCCACCAAGGCGACGAUCCGUAGCUGGUCUGAGAGGAUGAUCAGCCACACUGGAACUGAGACACGGUCAAGACUCCUACGGGAGGCAGCAGUGGGGAAUAUUGGACAAUGGGCGCAAGCAUGAUCCAGCCAUACCGCGUGGGUGAAGAAGGCCUUCGGGUUGUAAAGCCCUUUUGUUGGGAAAGAAAAGCAGCAGGUUAAUACCCCGCUGUUCUGACGGUACCCAAAGAAUAAGCACCGGCUAACUUCGUG